rnacentral:rRNA from 1 species
GACGAACGCUGGCGGCGUGCUUAACACAUGCAAGUAGGACGCAGUUGCGAACGGGUGAGUAACGCGUAGGUAUCUACCUAUUAGAGGGGGAUAACUAUUGGAAACGAUAGCUAAUACCGCAUACUAGUAGAUGGACCUGCGUUGUAUUCGCUAGUAGGUAGGGUAAUGGCCUACCUAGGCAACGCUACAUAGACGAACGGGGGGGGGGAUCGGGAAAAACGGGAAUGAGAAAAGGCCCAGAAUCCUACGGGAGGCAGCAGGAGGGAAGCUUCGGGAAGUGGGGGAACCCUGACCGGGGAAAGCCGCGUGAGGGAAGAAGGGUGUCGGAUCGUAAAGAUCUGUUGUUAAGGAAGCGGUACUUAACCAGAAAGGGACGGCUAACUACGUGCCAGCAGCCGCGGUAAUAC